AUUCUCACUUGCUGAGUGCCAUUUAGCCACAGGCACAUCAGCAUAAUCUGUCAGAAAUAUGAAUUGCACCAGUGUAGCUUGAUAACUGCUUAUAAGCCGUCAUGUGGUAUUCAAGUCCUCCCUCAAAAGUUUCCUUGUUGGAAAUUCCUUAAGUGGGAGUUCCCAAAACUCUGGCUUUGGAUUUAGACCAGGAUGACCCCCUUAACCAAAUCUCUUACAAGGUCUUUUUUGCAUUCCCAGAAACUAAUUAAAAGGCAGUGUUUUGUCCAUUAAUGUUCUUGGCCUAGAGAGGAAUCUCUGAAAAAGAACCAGGGGUUACUAAAGAGCUGUUCACACAGAAGUAAGUGUGUUUCCUUUAGCAGGGCUGUGCCUGGGAGAGCUUUGGGGAGAGAAGAUGGCAUUUUAGAUUCUUGAACUUUCUGCAGAAAACUUCGUUUUAGAUUCCUGGCUUUGUAAAUGUCAUCCUCCAGCAUGGGAUGAAGAAGUCUGUUUCCACUUGUGGCCACCUGGCAG
rnacentral:lncRNA from 1 species